rnacentral:tRNA from 1 species
GGGAAGGUGGCUCAAUGGUAGAGCACUUGCCUUGCAAGCAUGAGGCCCUCGGUUCGAUUCCUCAGCAUCACA